GCUCUUUCACAGCAUCAUCUUCAGGAUUUGAAAUAGCUCCACUGGAAUUCCAUCACCUCCACUAGCUUUGUUCCUAGUGAUGUUUUCUAAGGCCCACUUGACUUCACAUUCCAGGAUGUCUGGCUUGGCGGCUGCAAUGGACAGCGCAGAAGCAUGGCCAAGAGGAACUACUCCAUGUCCAAGGUCAGGGGCAGCGGCCAGGAGGAGCUACCCCACCCCCGAGGUCAGGGGCGGCAGAGGGGAAGAGCUACCUCACGUCCAACGUAAGGAUCAGGCUGUGCUUUGCUGGAGCAGCUGUGAAGAGAUACCCCAUGCCCAAGAAUAUUUUGCAGAGUGGAUGCUUUUCAGCUUUAACAAUUUGUCAAUAUUGUUUUCUCUUCUGCUUCCCUGACAUUAUACUCAGACAGUUCUCAUUGCCUAAUUUUAAAGUAUUUUUGUAAUUUUAUUUCUUACAGACUUUUAAAAAAUGUGAUAUAAUAUCCUAAUUCUAUCUGUUCCCAAAUAAAUAGCUAAUUAUCAUCCUACUAUUUUUGCAAAGAUCUUUCCCUUCCACUGAUUCAAAGCACUGCUUUUAUUAGAUAGUGAAUUUUC
ensembl:lncRNA